rnacentral:rRNA from 1 species
AUACGGAGGAUGCGAGCGUUAUCCGGAUUUAUUGGGUUUAAAGGGAGCGUAGGUGGGAUAUUAAGUCAGCUGUGAAAGUUUGAGGCUCAACCUUAAAAUUGCAGUUGAUACUGGUUUCCUUGAGUACGGUAUAGGUGGGCGGAAUUCGUGGUGUAGCGGUGAAAUGCUUAGAUAUCACGAAGAACUCCGAUCGCGAAGGCAGCUCACCGGGCCGGAACUGACACUGAUGCUCGAAAGUGCGGGUAUCAAACAGGAUUAGAUACCCUGGUAGUCCGCACAGUAAACGAUGAAUACUCGCUGUUUGCGAUACACUGUAAGCGGCCAAGCGAAAGCGUUAAGUAUUCCACCUGGGGAGUACGCCGGCAACGGUGAAACUCAAAUGAAUUGACGGGG